AUCUGAAAUUUGUGUUCCAGGGAUUCUGGCAUCCUCUUGUGGCCUCCAAAGGACCAGGCACACAACAGGUGCAAAAACAUACAUGCAGACAAAAUAUUCAAACAAAUAAAAGUAAAUUUUAAAACACUCUAAAGCAGAGCUGAGGUUCUUCUGUGUCCUCUUUCCUUCCAGCGACUGCUUCUGCCUAACUUCUCUUCAGGGAGGUUUCCACAGAUUACAGAAGUACCUUUUUAGUACCCAGGGCACAUUCCAUCCUGUCUCGAAGUCCCUUUCUUCAGCUUCUUCUAGAACUUCUGGUGAACAAGGGUGCUAAGAGCAAAGCACUUCUAAGAUUCAACCACUCAAACUCUGAAACAAAUGUUGGAGGGCUACUCCAUCCGCAUGGCCGCAACCCAACAUGGCAUUUACCUCAAAAGACCCAGUGACUGCUCCCAAAAGCAGUGUGGACGGAUUGUGGGAAGACACAGCAUGAUGGAGCUCCUGAACUUCUGUCUUCUUGGAACACCUGAGACAAGAGAAUGAUGAAUGGCAGCCUGGAGAUCAGCCUGGAGCCACACCUUGCCCUUUGAGUAGCCUCUCCCAUGACAAUCAACACUUUUCUAGAGCCUGGAGGCUGCUGUCGCAGGAUCUGGAUCUCCUUGCACCAUCCUCUCUGUCUUCUUCUGAGAAUAUCAUUGAGCCAACCUACCUUCCUCCGGUGGGAAGAUAUACUUCUGCACAGCCCUUCCUGGGAGAUAUUUACCACCUGGAUUCCAUGUGAACUGAUUCCACCAGGAAUUUGUGCAGUGUCUAUAAAGCAGGUUCCAGCUCAUGAAGGACAAAGGCUGGCAGCAAGGACUAAGCUGAGAUUAUCAUGCCCUUGGGACUGACUUGAGUUCAAAAUGCUGUGUGACCUAAGCCAAGAAGUAGCAGAAGUCACAUUAGGAUCCUUUGUCACAUUCUGAAGGUGGAUCUCCACACCUCAUCAGACCAGCACACCUGCUUUAGUCUAGGCCUCUUCUAGAAGCCAGCAUGACAUUCCAGUGCACGCCACAUCACUGUACAAUACAUGUCUUGUGCACAGGUGUGCUGCUCUGUCCCUGUCCCCCAGCAAGGUAGCUGGAGGUGUCAACCCAAAUAGAUCCUGAAAUCUGUUCAGCACUCUCAUUCCAAUCAUGAAGGUAGCUCACCUUGACUGUAACAUUCAUCUCAUGUCAGACAUUGAUCUAUGCUUUUCAUUAGCAGAUUUAAUCCUCUCAGCAAUACAAUGAGGAAACUGAAACAUGAAGAGACCAAGUGGCUGUCCAAGUCCACAAGCUAGAAAAGGGAAGACAGCCUCCUAGCAGGGCCAAUGCUCUUAGCCACAUAUCUUAUGUACAUGGGGGCCAUGCCUAGUUUUAAAAAGACAGUUGUGUCUAUGUGUCUGCAGCUACAUCUUUAUACUGUGGGGAAAACGUGGGGCCUAGACUGAAGAAUGUGUGGGUCAGAAAGUGGCUCUCCCACCACCAAGGUUGUUGGUCAUCUCUGAACACUCAAAAUCAGGCCAAUGUUCUCUCUGUCCAUCUGCUGUGACUGGAAAGGGGUGUUCAGUGCAAUGAAUACAUUGGCUGUCUGCCUCUUUGCAGUGAUCAGACUGACAAGACCCAUCUUUGACCCUGUUGAGUUUGGGUCCAAUGAGUAUGGAGAGUAUAAGAGAGUGAGUUAAAUGGUUGUGUAGUGAGCAUCUGGCACUGCUAGGAGAUGCUCUAGAAAUCACUGAUCUCUAUUCAUUUACAUAUUUUACAUAAAAGUCCAGAAGAUGCAUUCUUGUAUCCUGUUACAGUUUGAAUGUGAAGUCUCCCCUCCCCAGCUCAUAUUUUGAAGUUUUGGGCUUUUUCCCCCCCACCACCAAGAUGACAGUGUUAUUCUGGAGGGUCGUACAAUGACUAUGAGGUGUCUGAAGUAGGCCCCUGGUGGCAGCCCUUUCAAGGUCUUGUUUGGCCCCUGCUCUGGGCCCAUUCUCCUCGCUCUCUUGUUCACCGUGCUGAGACAUCUCCUCCACACUUUUCCACUCCCAUGCCUUCCUCACCACCACUGGCUGAAAUCCCUUUUGAUAUUCUGAGCCAAAAUAAAC
rnacentral:lncRNA from 1 species